rnacentral:lncRNA from 1 species
AUGACAAAGAAAAGAAGGAACAACGGUCGUGCCAAAAAGGGCCGCCACCACGCGCAGCCUAUUCGCCGCACUAACUGUGCCCGAUGUGUGCCCAAGGGCAAGGCCAUUAAGAAAUUCGUCAUUCGAAACAUAGUGGAGGCCGCAGCAGUCAGGGACAUUUCUGAAGCUAGCGUCUUCGAUGCCUGUGUGCUUCCCAAGCUGUAUGUGAAGCUACAUUACUGCGUGAGUUGUGCAGUUCACCGCAAAAUAGUCAGGAAUCGAUCUCGUGAAGCCCGCAAGGACCGAACACCCCCACCCCGAUUUAGACCUGCGGGUGCUGCCCCACGUCCCCCAUCAAAGCCCAUGUAA